AGUUCAAAGCUGUGCUCACAGAGACGGCUUCUUCUACUGGAGUCUUCAGGUACAUAGGAAUUCAGUUGUAAAUAAAGUUGAACCUAAAAUUAAAAGGAUUAUACCAGGUAGGUGACAGAAAUACUUUCCUGAGGAAGAGCCGGCAGGCUGUCGGACUCCUGGCAUGCCUGAACAUUCUCUCAAGUAAGAGACCAGUGGGACUAAUGAGCUCUGGAGAGACGAGCCACAAGUCAUUUCAUGUCCCUACAGAUAUUUGUGUGAGAAAGACGCUACACUUCAUUAACUCUACUAGAGAGUGUAAAAACCCACCACAUUUAACCAGCACAAAGCUGUGAUAACAUGCAUACCUAACUCAGAGCUUCAAACUCACAUCCUGGCUUUAACUCUCCAGCUGUUCCCAACAGCUCCAAGAAGCUGUUCCUCAAUCUGUGCACAGACUCAUUCUUCUCACUGCCUUCCAUAUCUUCCUUAGCUACAACUGCUAGCCAGUUGUGAUCAGUGCCUCCAAAGUGUUCAUCCAGCUCAUAAGAAGCAGAAUCUUUGGUGACAGAUGUCACCUUUUCAAGUUGGUUUCUGUAGCACCUUGCCUUGCUCUGGUGUCCCACAGCAAACAUGUUCCCAAGAACCACUAUACAAGUACAACAUACCUGCUCAAAAGUUGAGGAAGGCUGGAAAUAAUAGGUCCAUAUCCUGGUGCAUUGUCAUAGAGCUCAAACAAUGGUGCAGCAACCAGCUUGUAAUUUUUGGGGACUGCAAACAAAGCUAAAAACAAAUACAAGUUGAUGAAUCAGGAAAACCAGCACACAUACAGCCAAGGUAUCAUCGUCCCCCAGAGACUUCAAAACAAGUUCACUACAUGGAGCACUCAAGCAGGUUUAUUCCUUUUCUAGUUAAAUAUGGGAUUCACAUCCUGUACACAGAUUGAUGCAGGAGCAAGAAUGAAAAUUUACUACGAACUCAUGUUCAAAGGAUCAUCUACCUUCAAAACAAAUACCAGCAUUUAACUUUGUUAGUGAUCAACCACAAACAACUGCAAGCAUACACAUCUUGGUUUAACAUACCGUAACAAACACAAUCACAACUUUGUUUUCCUUGGGUGAAAUGCACGCAUUUAAACAUUGUUACAAAUACAACCCUUUGAUGCAAACAAACACUUACCCUUUUCUUGAAGCUGGACCAAAAACAGCUUUUUGUGUUCUUUCGGCUUUGUUAUAUGAGCUGGGAUGUAUGGGUACUAGAAGAAAAAUGGUAAAAAACAGUUGUAUAGAGCUUUGAAAAUAUUGUGUAAUUUUAAGUGCCACUUUAUAAAUUAUCUAGCCCUGUACAAGCUUUCAGUGUGUCAUAUAUUGUUCUUUCAUGGCAUCAAAUAAAGAAAACCAUUUUCCUAAGAAAG